AAGUUAUGAAAUCUACUCUGUGAAGAAAUUGUCCCCUGUGCAGAAAUUUAGCAAAGUAAUGCCAUGAUCUAAGCCUUAAGGACAAUCAAAGUCACUAAGGUCCCUGAAGAUGGCUACAAAU
rnacentral:snoRNA from 1 species